CAGCAGCCGCGGUAAUACGUAGGGUGCGAGCGUUAAUCGGAUUUACUGGGCGUAAAGCGUGCGCAGGCGGCCCGUUAAGACAGGUGUGAAAUCCCUGGGCUCAACCUAGGAAUUGCGCUUGUGACUGGCGGGCUCGAGUACGGUAGAGGGGGGUGGAAUUCCUGGCGUAGCAGUGAAAUGCGUAGAGAUCAGGAGGAACACCGAUGGCGAACGCAGCCCCCUGGGCCUGUACUGACGCUCAUGCACGAAAGCGUGGGGAGCAAACAGGAGUAGAUACCCGGGUAGUCCACGCCCUAAACGAUGGGUACUAGCCGGUUGGUGCGCGAUAGCGCUGAGUGGCGAAGCUAACGCGUGAAGUACCCCGCCUGGGGAGUACGGCCGCAAGGUUGAAACUUAAAGGAAUUGGCGGG
rnacentral:rRNA from 1 species